UACGCAAGGGCCCUUGCGGGUCAGGUCAGUAGUUCGAGGAAACCCACCCCUGAGGGAAAGGUUAUCAGGUGAAGGAGAUCAGGAGAUAAUUUGUGCACAGCACUGGGAAAGAUUAUCAAGGGCUGUAAAAAAGCCAGCCGGGGCUGAAGUGUGCCUCAGCCUCCGGUCUACUCCAGGGUGUCUCAGUUCCCAGGCCUCUGUCGCUGAGUUGAACUUGGUACUGAUGUUCACACAUUCCCAAACUACAGAUCCAUUGUUUACCACGAGCCCCACUGCAGGAUUGGCAAUCGAUCUUGUCUUGGACUGACUUGCACAAAGACUAAAUAGUUUAGAAGUCGCAAAGUGUCCUAGGAUCUGCUCAUGGAUGAACCAAAACUGCUUGUACCAUGUGGAAAGUUCCACCAGCACCGUGUGGAAAUUUUCUAAGUUCAAGGCCUUUGUUAAAUCGGAGCCCAACUCCAGCUUUUCAACCUGAGCAAGCUAUUUACCCGGAAUACAUAACAAGGGCCAGGACUACUUAGAGAGAUCUGUCUUAAAAAAAAAAAAAAAAA
rnacentral:lncRNA from 1 species